UACUACGACAGGAGAUGAAUA
ensembl:piRNA 21ur-681 ncRNA